rnacentral:misc_RNA from 1 species
AACGCACCUUGCGCCCCUUGGUAUUCCGAGGGGCAUGCCUGUUUGAGUGUCAUGUUCAUCUCAACUUCCUUGUUUUUCCCUUAAGACUUGGAUGUUGGACUUGGAGGUAUUUGCUGGCCCCUUUUGAUCGUGGUCGGCUCCUCUUAAAUGUAUUAGCCGGGCUUUGGCUCGCGUUGACGGUGUAAUAGUAAACUUAACAUAUUCACCCUUGCGCUUGCCUAGAAGGUCUGCUUCUAACUGUCCCCUUUUGUUGGACAAGACGCGUGAUGUGUCUUCUCUUGACUCCUUGACCUCAAAUCAGGUAGGACUACCCGCUGAACUUAA